UACGUAGGGGGCAAGCGUUGUCCGGAAUCAUUGGGCGUAAAGAGCGUGUAGGCGGCCCGGUAAGUCCGCUGUGAAAGUCCAGGGCUCAACCCUGGGAUGCCGGUGGAUACUGUCGGGCUCGAGUCCGGAAGAGGAGUGUGGAAUUCCGUGGUGUAGCGGUGAAAUGCGCAGAUAUCAGGAAGAACACCCGUGGCGAAGGCGGUUCUCUGGGACGGUACUGACGCUGAGACGCGAAAGCGUGGGGAGCGAACAGG
rnacentral:rRNA from 1 species